AUAACCGGCUUGUGGCGACUUCGCUUUAUGAUCCUUUAACAUCGGAUCUUCCUGUCGUUGUGAAGCAGAUUUCACCAAGCGCUGGAAUGUGAGCUGAGUUUAAAGCGUUCUCAGACAGGUUUAGUUUUACNNNNNNNNNNUGACAACCUUUUCAAUUAGGUAGAUUAUUCACAAUUUUUCAGAAAUUGUUAAUAACUGGCUUGUGGCGACAUCGCUUUAUGAUCCUUUGACCUCGGAUCUUCCUGUCGUUGUGAAGCAGGUUUCACCAAGCGCUGGAAUGUGAGCUGAGUUUAAAGCGUUCUCAGAUAGGUU
rnacentral:ncRNA from 1 species